GGGACCAUGGCGCAGUUGGUUAGCGCGCAGGUCUCAUAUUCUUCUGAAUAUGAUCAGGCGUCAAGUUUGAGUAAUCCUGAGGUCGUGAGUUCGAAACUCACUGGUCCCA